UACGUAGGGUGCGAGCGUUGUCCGGAAUUAUUGGGCGUAAAGAGCUCGUAGGCGGUCUGUCACGUCUGGUGUGAAAAUCCAGGGCUUAACCCUGGACCUGCAUCGGGUACGGGCAGACUAGAGUGCGGUAGGGGAGAUCGGAAUUCCUGGUGUAGCGGUGAAAUGCGCAGAUAUCAGGAGGAACACCGGUGGCGAAGGCGGAUCUCUGGGCCGUAACUGACGCUGAGGAGCGAAAGCAUGGGGAGCGAACAGG
rnacentral:rRNA from 1 species